GACGAACGCUGGCGGCGUGCCUAAUACAUGCAAGUAGAACGCUGAAGGAGGAGCUUGCUUCUCUGGAUGAGUUGCGAACGGGUGAGUAACGCGUAGGUAACCUGCCUGGUAGCGGGGGAUAACUAUUGGAAACGAUAGCUAAUACCGCAUAAUAGUAGAUGUUGCAUGACAUUUGCUUAAAAUGUGCAAUUGCAUCACUACCAGAUGGACCUGCCUUGUAUUAGCUAGUUGGUGGGGUAACGGCUCACCAAGGCGACGGUACAUAGCCGGCCUGAGAGGGUGGACGAGCACACUGGGACUGAGGCACGGCCCAGACUCCUACGGGAAGCAGCAGUAGGGAAUCAUCGGCAAUGGACGGAAGUCUGACCGAGCAACGCCGCGGGAGUGAAGAAGGUUUUCGGAUCGUAAAGCUCUGUUGUAAGAGAAGAACGAGUGUGAGAGUGGAAAGUUCACACUGUGACGGUAUCUUAACAGAAAGGGACGGCUAACUACGUG
rnacentral:rRNA from 1 species